rnacentral:lncRNA from 1 species
UCUAGGUUACUUAGAGGAACAAAUAUGAAAAAAAAAAAAAAAAAAAAAAAAACAUGUAAGGCUAAUGUGUUGUGGACAUCUCAAACAUUGUCUUUACAAAACCGAUGCGUGAAGUGAAUGAUGCUCUCGUUAUGGUUUGUGAAUCUCUCAUGUCUCAACAAACAUUACAUUUCCUAAUACUAUGUUGUAAAUUAAUCAAAACUUUAUUGUUUUAUGCGUAGUGAUACACUAAAUUUGUGAUGAUAUCUAUAUUUUAUGAUGCUAUUGUUUUAAAGAAUAAUAUCAAUGCACGUUUAGUAUGUCCGAUCCCAUAUAUUUUUAUUACGUCUCACACAAAAAUACGUUUUGAGAUGAUGAUACAUGUGGUGAGAAAUUAAGUAACAAAAUUAAGUAGGAGCAAAAUAAUCAUUUGCUCUUUAAUUAGUUAAUUAGUAACCUUAGACAUAUCUUCGUUUUGCAUGUCUUCUCACAUUCUUGAUAGCAUUUUUCAUACUCCCUCUCAUCGUCUGUUGUCAUGGCAAAUUUCCAAAAGCAAAUAAAAACACUUUCGUUAUAUACAUAUUAUUCAGUUUUCGUGUUUGAAAAUAAAUUUUUUCAUUCAUAACCACAGCUUGUAAUAUCAAGUGCAUAGUUUAACACAAAAACAUAUAUAUGAGCCAGACGUUUAAAACGUUCAACUAAUAAGAAGAAAAAAAUCAUUAACAAAGUAGUAAGCUAGUUUAUUUACAUAGAUCAAUCCAUAAAUAAUACGUAUCCAACUUACUUGAGUUAUUUUCAAGGUGAAGGCACUGAUGAAUAGUACAACCAACAACGCAAUUUACUUGUUUAUGUGUUAGCUAGCUUUGAAGAAGGUGAAGGUGCAGGAGAAUCAGAAUCUGGUGAAGGGACUUUGAAUAAACAUCAACAUCUUGUGAAGGUGCAGGAGAAUCUGAAUCUUGUGAAGGAGAAGGAGACUUUGAAGAAGAAUCUGAAUCGAAAUAGCUAUCAUAUUGUGAAGGAGAUGGAGAAGGAGAAUGAUGAUGACCACAUUUUUCAGGAAACUCACAGAAGGAAAUAGCUAUCAUCUUUGCCUGAACCAAAACGUUCUCCAUUCCCAUUAGUACUAUCAUUACCAUACUUAACAUUAGCUACACUCUUUGUGUUCAUCAUUUUUUUUUUUUUUAAUCUUUCUCAAUGACUUAUUUUUUAGUAAUCGUACAAGAAGAUUGUUGUGUGUGGAUUGUGAAUUUUGAUGUUUGAUUGCUUAAUCAUUGUGUGCUUUAUAUAGGAAAAUGUGUGUGAUUUCGUAUAGUAGGUGUUCAUAAUGAUUAUUAUAUCCCAUAUAUCAAUGUUUAUUAUAUCCCAUAUA